GAAUAUUGGACAAUGGGGGGAACCCUGAUCCAGCCAUGCCCCGUGUGUGAAGAAGGCCUUUUGGUUGUAAAGCACUUUAAGCGAGGAGGAGGCUACUCUAGUUAAUACCUAGGGAUAGUGGACGUUACUCGCAGUAUAAGCACCCGCUAACUCUGUGCCCGCAGCCGCGGUAAAACAGAGGGUGCAAGCGUUAAACGGAUUUACUGGGCGUAAAGCGCGCGUAGGUGGCCAAUUAAGUCAAAUGUGAAAUCCCCGAGCUUAACUUGGGAAUUGCAUUCGAUACUGGUUGGCUAGAGUAUGGGAGAGGAUGGUAGAAUUCCAGGUGUGGCGGUGAAAUGCGUAGAGAUCUGGAGGAAUACCGAUGGCGAAGGCAGCCAUCUGGCCUAAUACUGACACUGAGGCGCGAAAGCAUGGGGAGCAAACA
rnacentral:rRNA from 1 species